UCUGGGUGCUGUGGUGCACACCUGUAAUCCCAGCUGCUAGGGAGGCUGACGCAGGAGGAUCACGAGUUCAGAGCCAGCCUCAGCAAAAGGAAGGCGCUAAGCAACUCAGUGAGACCCUGUCUCUA
rnacentral:sRNA from 1 species